UACGGAGGGGGCUAGCGUUGUUCGGAAUUACUGGGCGUAAAGCGCACGUAGGCGGCUUUGCAAGUUAGAGGUGAAAGCCCGGGGCUCAACUCCGGAAUUGCCUUUAAAAACUGCAUCGCUAGAAUUGUGGAGAGGUAAGUGGAAUUCCGGAGUGUAGAGGUGAAAUCGUAGAUAUUCGGAAGAACACCAGUGGCGAAGGCGACUUACUGGACACAUAUUGACGCUGAGGUGCGAAAGCGUGGGGAGCAAACAGG
rnacentral:rRNA from 1 species